UUGUUUUUUAAAUACAGUUAGUACAGAGUACUUACUCAUCAUCAACACUAAGCGUGCUCGUCUGGGAAGUUAUCUUUAUUUAAUUUACUCUCAUUAUUAAUUUUAGAAAACACAUUCCUUUGCGAUUUUCAAGAAGCAGUGCUAAAAAUAAACUUUUGCGUUUAAUACCAGUUUUGGAUCAUAAAAAUAUUUGCAGUUAUUGGGCAUGAUAGACAUCACACUCAAGGUGAGUGUAUUCAGGUACUAAAAACUUGUGGUCUAUGACUUCUAAUGUUUGGUGUAGAUUAAUAAAACAUUGCUCAUCUGAAGGAAUUUGUGUUUUGGUCCCGAAAUAUGUCCGAAUAAAGCACAAUUUACUUGACUUCUGUUGGAAUAUUUUUAAAGAACGCAAAAAUCCAAGAUUCUAUUUUAUUGGCACCUCUUCCCGUAGCGCAUUCUGGCCACAUAAACUGCGUGGACUUUUCUGAAGAGCAGUUAUGUACUGUUAAAUUAUAUAUCCAAAGCGAACGCAAAUAGAACACCUUAUUUGUUGAUAAUUAAAGAGUUUGUAAAACUUGCUGUAAGUCAAAUGCAAAUGUGAUGAGGGAAGGAUAGUUUAAAGCCUUUUUCUUAUCAGCUGCUUCUGCUUCAUAUGACAAAUCUACCAGAAAAAAUAAAUGACAAAAAAGUCUUCCAGUUUAUAGUCCAGUGUAGAGCGUUGUCUUAUUUAUUGGGUUCCACCUGAAGCUGGACGACCAAAGACCAAAAUCCUUUGACGUUAUGCAAAAUUUUGUAGAGAAUCCUUGAAUAUCACUUCGAAAAAUUGGAAACAACUUGAUGUCAGUUAACCGUUCUUUGUACUCUUUUGGCCUACGCCACUGCUGGAGUAAUUGAAGCGCCUUUAGCACCAGGCGCGCUGGCUUAUAGUGCCCCUGCGGCAUUCGCAUAUUCUGCACCAGCAUUAGCAGCAGCGCCGAUUC